CGCUGCUUGAUCCCACGGCAGCUGUCCGUUCAGAACUGCUGUAUGUCUAUGUAAUGCAAUCCACAUGAAAACGUGCCCAAAUCAUCAUCACUCUAACCAUAUCAAGAGCGUUUCAUUACGCAAUGCAUUACAGCGAGACGGGGGUCAAUUCGUGCCAUUGCACGUACUCGCAUUAAAUUUCCUCGAUCCUUUAAUCAUAUGGACUCGAGAAGCAGUUUGAGCGGAGAAUAAUUCCAGGCGCGCGCUAUUGGCUCCCCGUCCUCAUCUGUCAAUCUGCGGAGGCGGGACUCUGCCUGCUCGCGCUCCCAGGAGGCGAUAGAUGCGCGAGCUGUACUUUUCUACUGUGUUCAAGCGCUUCGCACUUCUCGAGCUCAGUCCGAGCGUCAAGUGAACGACGUGCGGAAAGCGCAGUGGGACUUCAACCGAGGAGAAGUUAUCGAAGGAGCCUGUAGUAUUGAUUGCAGCAGCCUGCACCUGGAUAAGCCCCAUCAUCAGCGCGCGGAGAAGCGAAAGAGCGAAGAAAGUGUGUUGACGGCAAGCGGGCAGCUGUUACAGAAGGAAGGCAAUAUGAUGGUGAAGCAGCAUAUGCUGUUUACCCUGUACAGCAUCUGCGGGAUCGUCCUUAAAGAUAUUCUCGCCGUUUCAGAGAAGGCAAGAAGUCAAGUGCUAAUCUGACGAUGCCUCAAAUUAAAGGAAGAUGGCGAUGUGAGCGAUGGGUUUGUUGUUAGGGUAAUUGGAAGGUUCUAGUGAUGAGUGUGGGCUUCUGCAAGCUCACGACUGUGUUACGGCCGACAUAGCCUCAAGAUGAUACAUGAACGGAUCAUCCGGCAUUCUGUUUAGAAGUAUCAGAGAAUCAGUUAAUGAGUCCGCUCAUAA